AGAGGGAACUCCGGACAACCACAACCCCAAAACAGCGGGCGCCCAAGCCAACACAAGCCCCCCUAUUGCGGGGCAGCAGGGGUCUAUAUACAACGGAAUACACAGCCCGUUUCAAUCCAGCAUCAUCCAGUCACAGCAAGCAGACACAACGGAACCCAAUCACCAUCAUCCUAAUGGCAAGCCCACAUCACCCCACAACCACUCCAACUCCCAAAAUCCCAAGCGACUCGGCUGUGGCUCUCAACAACUGCCAGGUGUGGUGGCACACUCCCGUAAUACAAGGACAUAAGGAGCACCAAGAAAAAGGAUCAGGAAGCCAAAGACAGCCCCUGCAACGCAGCGACACCUCCAAGCUAAAUAAAAAGGUGUAGAGCUCAGUGGUAAAGCACCCCUGGGUUCAAUUUGCAGUAACAACAAAAGUC
rnacentral:lncRNA from 1 species